rnacentral:rRNA from 1 species
AUUGAACGCUGGCGGCGUGCCUAACACAUGCAAGUCGAGCGGUAACAGGUGUAGCAAUACAUGCUGACGAGCGGCGGACGGGUGAGUAACGCUUGGGAAUCUGCCUAUUAGUGGGGGACAACCCGGGGAAACUCGGGCUAAUACCGCAUACGCUCUACGGAGGAAAGCCGGGGACCGCAAGGCCUGGCGCUAAUAGAUGAGCCCAAGUCGGAUUAGCUAGUUGGUAGGGUAAGGCCUACCAAGGCGACGAUCCGUAACUGGUCUGAGAGGACGACCAGUCACACCGGAACUGAGACACGGUCCGGACUCCUACGGGAGGCAGCAGUGGGGAAUCUUGCGCAAUGGGCGAAAGCCUGACGCAGCGACGCCGCGUGGGGGACGAA